GCGAAAAAAAUUGUCUUGGAACGAGGCCUCCAGGUGCCCUCGAGCUCGCACUCGCAUGAGAUCCCUUCCAGGCCACCACGCCACACCACCAGAUCCCAUCGCCGCCACCUCGCACUCGCAUCCCAUCGCCGCCGCCCGUGCGUUCUCGAUCGGAGAGGACGCUCCCUUCGCCGCCGCUGAGAUCCGAGAAGAGUCGCCCUUCGCCGGCGCCAAGAUCCUGUGCCUCUCUAAAGACCCCUCUCUCGCGCGACACCGCCUCCCUUACAAGGACGCCAUGCCAUGGGUCUCCAUCGGUGCCACGACUGCCGCGGCCUCCCCACCUGCCGACGCUCUAGAUCCGGCCGUAGUUGAUUCCCUGUACAUCAUCUCAAGGAGGAGGGGCGUGAGGCGGUUGCCGCCGCCGGUGGUUGCACUUGAAGGUCUCCGUCGCUUGCUCCAACCAGAUCCAGCCAGACCGACCUGUGGUGGUCCACGUGCAUCUGGACGGACGCAACGGCUUUGCCUCCCCUGUCCCAUGUCUUCGUCCACCACACCAUCCCAUUGCGGUAAUAAAUCUCUAGCCAUGCCCUUUUCCUUGAGAUGAACUACAAAAUUUCUGUUCUAUUAUAUCUUGGUGAAUGUCUCGUCAAUUGCCAUACAAAUACAUGUGUGCUUCUCCUGUCGUGCAUUUGAUGGGUAAGCUGCUGCUACCCGGGCUCACAUGACCCCGUGGAGGAAGGAGCUGCGCAAGGAAUCACUGCCAAAAGACUCGAGAUGAGUUUGGAGUGUCCUGGAUUCCAGUCCAUGUUCCGCAAGGACGAAGCAACGCGAGCUAGCCGAGGGUUCAGAUUGACGUUCGCUUUGAUUCUCGUUGAUUCAUUGUUUUGACCGACCCAAGCAGCGCCGGCGCUCACGGAGGAGAACCUGAUAUUUCUAGAGGCCUGACGCGCGGUCGAUCACACUUACUACGACAAGUCCUCCAACGGGUGGAGCUGGUUCAGGUACCACAAGCACCCUCCAGGAAAAGCAGGUUCCAGCUGUGCAAAGUCUGCCUACUACUGCUAUCCAUACUGCGCUAUAGCAAAAUAGCUUUGGAUCAGGACUAACCUCUAGCCAGGAAAGAACCUGAAUCCCAAGUCGACGGCCGCUGCGGUGCCCACGUCCGCGUCAUUAGUGCUGCUAAGGGGCGCUUCACCCUGUUCGGCAUUAUCUUCUAUUCUUCCUACGGCUGCAAGAACCCUCACCUUGGCUAUGGCAGAUGCGACAGAUAAAGCAGGAGAUGGAUGAAAUGCUGCUGAGACGUUACAAGAUAUUCCAGCAGAGGCAUCCUUACCAUCCGCAUUACAAGGAUAUGAGAACAUUGGGGUCCUGAAGGCAGUGACCUGUUUACCAUACACAUAUUUACUUCCUUUCUAGGGUGGAACAAUGGAAGGCACAAUUCCAAAUUUCCAAGUACAGCUCUUCAAGAACAGGAUCUCUGAAGGAACAACAAUUUACAAGCUUGGCGCUUACCAGGUUCAGUAUGCUAGGGAAAGAUACAAAACUGUAGAUCGUCCAUGGAGAGUAGUGUUUGCCCAAAAAACUACCGUCGAACCAAUUGUGCCUCAGCCACCAAACUUUCCCAAGUAUGGAUAUACCACCUACAAUGUACACAGUACCAAAGCUGCAUUAAACAAAUCGUUUUGUUGUCAGUUACUAGCAUCACAAGAAUAUUUGCGCCGAGCGGCAGAUCGAUUGACCAGAUAUGAGAAAAUCACAUCACAAAUAAUGCCCGCCGUUGUGAUGUUUUGGGGAAAAUUAGCAGAUGCCCUUGAUGCAGACAAGCUACAACGGUGGUCUGCUCAAGAACCCAUUAUAGUUCUAUUUGUUGGCAUGCCAGUACAUGAAUUUAAUGAAACUUGACCUUCAAGUCCUGUCUGGCAACUCGAUGGUACAUGAAUCCAACUAUUUCUGAAGCGGCAGCUAUUCUAGGAAGAUCUACUGCAAGAUCCCAUCAAAUUGAGAUAAGCACCGGCUCACAGGGUCAUCGCUAGGCAACAAAUACAACAAACACAUAAUUAUCAGCCGUUGACCCUGGUGGAAUCAUGGACCAGUACUAUAAACUGGAAAUAAAGAGAACUGAAGUGUCCCCUUCCACGGCGUUGGGGGGCCUUUCUCUGCCAGGCGCGGUGGCUCCUUGGUAGGAUGAUGCAGCUGGCUCGGCGGAGGCUAGGAGGCUCGUCGGCCGACAUUUCGUUGAUGCAUGGGUGCCAUAUUGCGAUGGAACGGCAGUAUAAUAUACAAAACUUUGACGAGGCUCACCUGCUUCAAAAUUUCACAAUAAGUCCAAUCAAGACAACUUGCAACUUUGGUGUUGUCACAUUGGAGUUCGUGCUGAGCAGCAAUGGGAGACUGUCCUUGAUGCCCGACCCAUGAUGCCGACGAAGGAACGAGAGUCGAUGAGGAGUAGACGCCAUGGGUUUGUGAACUGGCCAAGCCACCGUUGUCCGUUUGGUAAUGUGACUUGCCCUGAUUUUGACGUCGUCUACCAACAUCCGACGAAGGGAACCCGUCCCGGUUUCCAUCUUGAUGGUCAGCCAUGUUUACUAAAAUAUAUAAUUUCUAAAACAUUUCCAGCAAUAUGUGAGUUGUUUGCUUGCUCAACAUUACUCUAGGAUCGUUUCUACAUGCUACAAAUAGAGGGAAGUUGGCUUGUGCCUUAGUAGAGACAGAUGAACCAAUAAAAUGAUUGGAAAGGCUCUUUCCAAGCAUAAGAGGAGCUUUUGAAGGGACUGAAGAACCGGAACCUCCCCUCCUCCCUCCCGCGACGCUCCCGCAGGCGUCCGGGGGGCAACCCUAGCACCGCCGCCGGCCCCCCCUCCUCUCCCUACCCCCUCGCGGCCGCCCGGGGGCGCGAGCGGGCGAAGCCCGCUCGUCGCUGGCGGCGGCGGGGCCUUCUUGUCUCCGCGCGUGGGGGUUUCUGUGAGGGCCGGACGCCUCUGGCCGGAUGCGGCGCUUGGCGCUGGCCGUGGCAGCUCAGCAGCGCGCCGACGUGGGCUGUCGGCGGCGCAUGCCAGCGAUGCGAUGGACAGUGCGGUGGUGGUGCAGGCUGGAGGCUGGUGGUGGCGGCGGCGCGCCCAGAUCCGCCUCUGGCGCCGCGAGUUGCGGGCGACCUGGAUCACGGUCGGCCUUCCCUACCAUGGCUCGUGGGGGGGCAGCGGGUGGAUGCGUGUGCCGUUGCCCGUCCGAGCCCUUGCGGCAGGUCGAUGUUGCACGGCGCUGGAGACUCCCCUGGUGGCCAUCCAUGGAUGCGGCGGCGGGCUCUGCUUCCUCAUUAGAUUAAAUUUUGGUAUUACAUUUUUUAGCACUUCAUGUGAAUGUUCUAUAGUCUCUAUUGUGCAGGCGGGUCUACUCUCCCUCUUGAGGCGAGUGUGGAUGUAAUGGAUAUUGAUUGUGGUUGUUCGGACAAAAAUAUUGCGUGGAAACAUUAUAUACUGAUGGAGAGUAGUAGUUGUGGAGCGGGUCGUGGGAGAGACGGUUGGUUAGCAUGGGCUGGACGGGAAGGUGAUGCCUGCGAUGGCGACCAAGCCGACGGGCAGGGCAGGGGCGACUGUGGCCAUCGUGGUGUUUUCAAGGGAGAGCGAGGCAACUGCAAUCACGCAACUGAAGAAGUCGGAACCCGGGGCGAAGUUGGCCAACAUGAAAGCUGACAAACCUAAAUGCCGGUGAUAGGUUGUUCGCCGCUGUCGCGCCGUCUUUGAACUUGGUGGAGACGCAGAAGCAGUGGCGGAGCUAGGAUCAAGCCACGACCCGGGCAAGCCCCAGGCCAAUCACUUGGUACAGUGCUAAACAGUGUAAAAUCCACUACAGUAAACGAAGGAGCCAAGCCUCAGGACCCAGGCCGCCGCCCGGGCAGCCUGGGGCUUGUCUCCGCCACUAUGCAGAAGGAGAACGGUGGCGCCGUGAAGACCUUGACGACUGCUGCCAUGACCACAACCAUGAUGAUUGUGUUGGUAAUAAAGAUACUAAUUAUAUACAAAUCCCCCAGCUUCGAAAACAUUAGAUUAUCCAACUUAUUAUUCAAAUUCUUGAUUCAAGAUAAAUGGAAAUUUCCUAUA